rnacentral:hammerhead_ribozyme from 1 species
UUUUAGUUGACAAGUCCCAAAUAGGACGAAACACUCGUUCUGGAA